rnacentral:lncRNA from 1 species
CUGGAAAAAAAAGGGACUCCUCCUUCCAAAUAGCAGCAAUGCCAAACCUCCUCUUGAGAAAAACACCAACGGCCUCCUUCACCAAAACCAGUUUCCUCACCACAUUUCGUCGCUAACAGUCUGGUGAAAGCCACGUUCAAGCAACAUCGACAAACCACCAUUAAAACCAGCUAAAAACAUUCUGAAAUAGCUCAUAAAAAUACUGCCAGCUUGACUGCGAAAUGCCACUUUUUCAACCUCAAAACGGAGGUCGAUGGCGAGUCCGAUUUCCUCGCCUGAAGUCGCCGUUCGAAAUCUCCUGUUGUCGGUUCUGGUUGGAGUCGCCAACGAAGUUCUCCAUGCCCGAUCUGGCUUGUUCGAGUUCUCUUGUCGAGUUUACAUCCUUGUAUUCAUCUCAUGUAUAUAAAAGUUUCAAACUUUGCAAAUAGUUGCUGCCUCGUACUGGCUUCUGAUUUUGUUCAUAUUUAGAAAGAUAAACGUUUUUGCUGCAUUUCAGGUCCGUUUCUCAGUUUAUUUUGUUCUUCCAUACUCUUGUUAUCUUGUUAAAUAGUAUAAAGUGCCUUUAGCUACGAAAUGCAUCUGAAUGCUAUUUGUUUGCUUCUGUUACGUAUAAAGCAUGAAAAGUUCAUUUCAUCUUCAAUUAAUUUAUUAUUAAGUAUGUCUUAAAUGGUAUCUUUUAAUCAAUUGUUUUGCCAGUUUAUUUAUUUGCCUUUCGUGUAGAUUGAUUUUUCUUGUUUUAAACCUUUGUUGUAUCAUAUGUAGUUGGCCUCAAUAAUAUUUUGAGACGGAACAGUUUUGGAAUGAACAACUUCGAAUAUGUUAGUUAUUUUAGGUGUGUUUUAAAUUUAUUAUUAUGGUUAUAUAUACGUACGCGUAAUAUAAUUGCGAAUUUAAUUCUAAAAAAAACUCGAGUGAUGCGUAUGAUUAUGUAUACCUACACGUAACAUAAUUGCGAAAUUAAUUCUAAAAAAAUUCGAGGGAUGCAUUCGCGCAAUUUCAAACAAAUCUUUUUUGAAAAUAAACAAAGCGUUAUUAAUUAUGGAUACGUUCAAGUGGACAUGACUUUGACGCGCCAAAAGAAAAGAGUAUAUGUACGUAUGACUCAAUUCUUUAAUUACGAACGAAUCAAGUGAUUAAAAGCAGUAAAAAUAUAUAUGCAGGUAGGUUUUAAAAAUAAGUAGUUAAAUAAUUAAGCCAAAUAUAAAUUGCUAAGCGACCGUGCUAGAACCAAUUCUUUAAUUAUGAACUAUCAAGUGAUUAAAAACGGUUUAAAGGUAAAUGCAAAUAGGCUCUAAAGAUCAGUAGUUAAACAAUUUAAGCCAAGUAAUAAUUACUAAACGUCCGUGAUAGAACCACGAAACGCGAGAAUGCCUAACACCCUCUCCCGAGUUAACAAAAUUCCUUAUCUAGAAUUUCUGGUUCGCAGACUUUAACAAAUAAAAUUUUCCUCGAUUUUGGAUUUUAAAAUAAACUGGUAACUUGGGACACCAAAUAAACUAUUCCAAGUGGCGACUCUACUAAAUAAAAUAAUCCCAUUUUGAAUAAUGUCACUUUAAUUGGAUAAACUCUUAUAUCCCUCUCGGGUGUGUAAAAAAAGGGUGUGACAUCGAUGGCAACUCUGCUGGGGAUAAUAACCCAGAACUUCUGUUCAGGGUUUAGAAUUUGAGCUUGUAAUGUGAUCUAUAUUUGGCUUUCUUAAUUUGAUGUUAUUAUUGUGUUUUUGGUCCUAAUGUGAUAAUUGCCGCUAAUUUAUUGCUUUGAUAUUAUUUGAAUUGCAUUAAACCGUCUUCUUACGCCUCCCUUCUGAGUAUUUUGAAUUUAUGGUGCACACGUGCGCGCGACCCACUUUUCUGUUAGAAGUCAUACCAAAUAGAACGAAGUUGGGACAAGUAACUAGGUCGGAUAGAUUUUCGUGCUCCCGGUACGUUGUCCCCACCUCGGCUCGAGCUGUCCACUUGUGUAGCCAGGUCUAAAACACCCCCCAGGAUUUAAACCUAGAAUAACAUAGGCUCAUGCCGGAUCCCUAGUAGGAACGUUUGUUUGCAUCACGUGCAUUCGUCUUUAAGGACUCAACACAAGGGUUGGGUCCGUGUAAGAUAUGUAUACAUGAGAAUUGCAAGACCAUCCUGAUGCAUCUUAUGUGUUAAUUGUGCAUUAUGUUUGAUUCAGCUUGUGCAUGUUGACCGAUUUCAAUAAAAGAAAAAGUAUAUAAAAAUAAAAAUAAUUAUCUAAAAGUUGAGGAAAAGCCAGAAGGUAAAAAAUAAGAGAGAAAAUUUACCUUGUUUUAAAAAUUAAUCUAGGUGUUUACCCGAAAAGAUUAUUACAAAAUAAGCCUAGAUUUUUCAAAAAGUGUGUCAUCCUAUUCCUGAAAUAUUUACAAAUUACGCGGGUUUGAUUCUCACCGAAUGUGAUAUACGUAGGCAAACCUCAUCGGUUCCGUCCAUCAACUUUAAAAAAUUCAAAAAUUAUUUUCUUCUAAUUCCUUCUUUAGAAGUUUUUCUUUUAGACAUCAUAUUUUUUUUAAAAAAAUCCAAAAAUAUUUUUCUUCUUCUUUAAAAGUCCUUCUUUCAACAAAAAAAAGAAAGAAAGAAGUUUAAACCCCAAAAAUAUUUUCUUAUUGUAGAAGUUCUGAUAGUCUGAAUUCACAUAAGAAAAAGAAAAAGAAAAAAAAUUUAGUUUGGUUUACUUCAAUUCUUAUCCUCUCGAACUACACAAGAUAUGGUUCAUGUCUCCACAUGAUACAUACGCAACCCACAUCAGGUUCAAUCGAAUAAUUUUGAAAAAAAAAAAUAAAACAAAAAGGAAAAAAUGAGAGAGAAUAAAGUGGUUAAAAAAAAGUAUUUAUUCUAACAUGCUUGUUGUUUUGAAUUAAAAGCUGGAUAAGGGUGGUCGGUUUGUUGGUUUGCAAUGUCGAGUCAAGAAAAUAAUCCAAGAUCCCUUGGAGGUAAAAUCAUCUUCGCAACAAAUAGAACAAGCACCAUUGUUGUUGAUCCAAGGUCACGUAAAGGCAAAUAGACAAAUUGGCGGUGAAAAAUAAAAAACGUAGGCAAAUGUAGGGUUGACUUUACCAGAUUUAAGAAAUUGGACAUGGCCUGCUCGGGAUGAUUCGAUGAUGCAGAAUUUGAUCAAGCAUUGAAAACCAUAGUAGCCAUUGCCAUGGCUGAAGAAAAAUGGGCGUCAACCCAGAAACUUUCCCUAUCAGACGGGAGUCUCGGUAGCCGGUCUUGCUAUCUUUUCUACCUUUCAAGUUAUUUCAGUGUGUCAUCCGAAUGUUCUUACUUUGCUGUCUUACAUUCUGAUGUAAACCCUUCAAUUUUUUCUUCGAACAAAUGAAACCAACAUUUCAUCAUCCAUGAAUGUCUCUUUUCUUAAUAUUGUCACCUUUCCUAUUCUAUUGUCAGUUCUAUAGAUGCAGAUUUUAAUAACAUGACAUGGAGACUUCAUGCCCAGAUCCUAAAACGCAGCCAGAUUUUGAAAUAAUAAAUGAAGAAGCAUAAUGUUUUGAAGAUAAGGCUUGCAAGAAAAUAAACAAAGAAUUGAAAUGAAAAUAAAAUUCCCUCUCUUCGGAUCAUUGUUGAAGCCGGGAUCACUGAUAAAGAUUGAGUCAAGACCCGAUUGAAACAUUGUCUUUGAUUGAUGGAAAGUAAUUGGUCGGAGGCUACCAUGGGCAGUUGUACAACAAAUAAUGGCCCAUGCUUACAACAAGAAAGUAUGUCCCAAGAAAUUUGAACUGGGGCAACUCAUCUUGAGAUACAUUCUCCCGCACUAUGAAGAAGCUAAGGAAAACUUUGCUCCAAAUUGCAAAGGUUCAUACAUUGUAACAAGAGUAUUUCCAAAUGGAGUGUUGCAUUUGGGAGACAUCGAAGGAAAUAUUCUCGAGACAACUAUCAAUGUGGACGCAGUCAAAAGGUACUGUGUUCGAUCCUUUAUGCAAAAUUAAUGUUCUCUGAUUGGGAUGACGAAUGCUUUCAUUAUUUCUAUCCAAACACCGUUAACCCUUUUGCCAACUCUUUGAGUCGGUUACUUUUCUUUGCUUACCCUCUUUGGAACCCGAAGGUGUUAUUGAAAAGGAAAGGAUAAGAAAAAAAAAAGAGAAGACAAAGUAAACAAUAAGCUAAAGAAAAAAAAAAGAGAACAAAAAAAAAUGAGAACAAAAAAAAACGUUUCCUGAACUACGUUCGACUUGAUUCCGAAAGGAUACAUAGGCAGGCUCUCUCUGAGGUUCAGUCACACAAAAAUAAAAAUUCAAAUUCCCCAAAAAGUGAAACUGGGGCAGAUAUUAUAAUGUUUGAGCAAUGGUUUUUUCUUGAAAGGUUCCAAAGUUGUAAAUCAGUUCAAAUUCUUUUUACCCAAAUCCUUUUCAAGUCCUUUCGAUUAAUCAGCGAGAAUGUUUAAAGAAUUAGAGGAUACAAUCAUUUGGAUCUGAUACAAUCAAAAUGAGAGAAAUAAAAUGAUAGAGACUUAUGGGUGAAAACCCUCGGGCACCGUAAGGCGAUGGUAAGUAGAUUACAAUGAAAGAGUCUUGUUAGUGAAAAUUCACAAAGAUCACUAUAAGACGAUGGCGAGAAGAGAAAUGAGAGAGAUCAGCUAGUGAAAACCCGCAAAUGGUACUGUUGAUCGAAAAGAGGAUCCACACAACCAUGGCAUCGACACAAUCAUGAGCAAGGUUUACCACUUUCAAGUCAAAAUUUGUCAUAAGUUUCUGAGAAUCAGACGAUUUAUACAGAUGAGGCAUCCAAUCCAAGAGACAUGUCAUGUUUAUUGAAGUUUGCAUUUACUCCAGAUAAGUCCUUAUUUCCUUUUCCCGAAAGGGAUACCUCUCGUCUAAGUUCAUUUAUCCAUUUUAUUGUUUGUUUUUCUUUGAAUUACUUUUGGUGUAACUUUGUUCAAAAAAUAAGGCAAAGAAAAUAUGGCAAGACCGAUUUACAGGGUUCUAGUAUGAAGCGAGCUGAUAUAUUCAAAAGGUGACCAACCUCAACAAGGGAAUCAAGUCAACACCAACUGGACAUGAUUGGGAGAUGUUUUGAUAGUCAAAAGCUAAAUGCUCACAAAGGCAACAUAAAGUUGAGAAAGGUUAAGUACCUUCAUGGCAAAGUUUGGAAAAGUUAAAGGUUCUCCAGAGUCAGAAAUGCAGUUGGCAUUCAGGAAAUAAUCAGUUGCAGUUGAAAUCAUUAAAGAAAAUGAGCCGAAAUCAAGAGACUGAAAUAAUCAAGGCCACAAACCGAUCUCCAUUUUAAAACUAACAAAUCUUUCUUUGUUCAACACAGAAACAUAACAACUUUAAGGAAUAGUUUGUGAAAAGACGAACACCACCAAGUGAAGUUCUCAAAUCAUUGAUUUUUUUUAAUAUACAUGUAAUUAUUUGAUUUUUAGAUUCAUUAGAGGGAGCCAAUACACUAUCUUCAACACAUGGUACUAUAUCCUAUGGUCGUAUAUUAUUUCCACUACAGGGGUACUACAUCCCCUGGUUUCCUUACUUCUUGUUGCAAAGAUAGGGUACGACAUUCCCUAGUUGCAUUAUUUUUUGCCAACACAGGGUACUAUAUCUCCUGGUUGCAUUAUUUUGUAUCCAACAUAGGGUACUACAUCCCCUGGCUACAUUAUUUUCUACAUAGGGCACGACAUCCCCUGGCAACAUUAUUUUCUAUAUAGGGUACGACAUCCCCUAGUAGCAUUUCAGAGUGCCACGAGCCUCAUUUGUUUAUUAUACCCAAGAAAGUUCUGAAGACUAUAGAAGCAAUAUGUAGAACUUACCUCUGGACUGGUAAAGCCACACUUUCCAGAAGAGCAUUAGUUGCCUAGGACAAGGUAUGCCAACCUUUAUCUUCUGGUGGACUUAAUAUUUUGAGGUUGGCUGUAUGGAACAAAGCAGCCAAAAUAGCCUCAUUUUGUUGCCAACACAAGGUACUAUAUCCCCUGGUUGCAUUAUUUUUUACAUAGGGUACGACAUCCCCUAGUAGCAUUUCAGAGAGCCAGGAGCCUCAUUUUGUAGCCAACACAGGGUACUACAUCCCCUAAAUGCAUUAUUUUCUACAUAGAGUACGACAUCCUCUAGUAGCAUUUCAGAGACCCACGAGCCUCAUUUUGAUGCCAACACAGGGUACUAUAUCCCCUGGUUGCAUUAUUUUCUACAUAGAGUACGGCAUCCUCUAGUAGCAUUUCAUAGUGUCACGAGCCUUAUUUUGUUGCCAACACAGGGUAAUACAUCCCAUGGUUGCAGUUCUUGUUGCAAACAUAGGGUACAACUUUCCCUAGCCGCCUCUCAGAGUGCCACGAACCUCAUCUUAUCUUCAACACAAGGUAGUACAUCCCCUGGUUGCCUUCCUUCUUGUUAGCACUUAGUAUAACAUUCCCAUUUAUUUAAAAAAAUGUGUCUAUUUUAAUUCAUUAUUCUGCAAUAGCAAUAAUACUUUAAUGUGUUUUCUAUAACUCACAAAAAUUUCCUAGUGCAAACUAGGGCAGAAAAUUUUUGUUCGUUUUGUUUGUUUGUGAUGGCUUGUAGGUAUUUCUACAAAGCACAGAUUGGAUGUGUAAAAAAAUAAGAUUCCAUCUCUAGCCAGAUAAAUUGAAAUGUUUGAUCUCAAUACGAGUGGAACCAGCUUUGACGUAAUCCAUCGAGACAUAUGGUCAAGAUCCAUCUUUCCAUCGUCUAAUUAAGAAACAAGCAUGAAAGAAUAUUUCAUAGUCUGUUGCAUCGAGAGCAUCAAGUUUCAAUCCAAAGUCACUAGGAGAAACGUGUGAAGAAUCAAGACAAGACUCCAUAUGACAGUUAGAUAGCAAUUUUGUAACUCUUAGAUUUCAAGAGUAUGUAAUUUUCUUUUCAUGUAAUAGUAGGAAUUGCAAAUCAGAACAUCGACGGAACUUCGCUCGACUCUCAUUCUAAGAAUACUCAGACACUCUUCUUUCUACUUGAACUAUACGUGAGCUGAUUCCCUGAUAACCCGGAAUAUGUAGGCUGCCUAAAACCAAGGUUCGGUCACAUUUUUUCCUUUUUAAAUAACAGUGAGGUCAAAAUUAGUCACCAUGUUCAUUCUUUUCCUGAAACUCUUCAUGUUUCAAAGAAAGAUGGGCAUGCUGUGAACACCUAAUUUUUUAUCACACCCAUAUUCUAUAUUAUAUUAGUAUAAAUAUUUCUUCUAGGUCUAGUCUUAAUAUUUUAAAUUUUUAUAUUACUUUUAAUAGGUUUUAUAUAAGAAAAUUAAAAACUAAAAAAUAAUAUUCACAUUCUUAGAAUAUAAGAUUUAUUCCUAUGUUUAAAUAGAAGAGAACUUAGUUUCUUCUAAUUUAAAUGAAAGUAUAGUAGUAUUUUUCUUAGUAUAAUUUAAUCUUUAGUGUAAAUAGUGAAUUUCUUAUUUAUAUAGUUUUCUUUAAAUCUAAAAGUAAGUUUUAUAUGUGUGUGUGUGUUUUAUCUUUUUUAUUUAAUUAAAAAAAAGGUUAGGAAAAGAUAAAUAAAUAUGUAUAAAUUUUUUUUAAAAAAUAUUAAUAAAACCACCCACAAUCGCCACUUUUUCUUAACUCCUCACGUCCCAAAACCAAUUCUUUCACCGCCACACACACGACCCCACACUCACAAUAUGCACGAUCUUACACCACUUCCACACAUCCGUCACACACACUUAUUCUAUAUAUAAUAUACACAUACUUUAAUAAAGAAGUUGGCUAUUCAUCACUUUUGCCUCUUAUUGAGAAGAUCACAGCAAGAGUCACUUGCUGGUCAGCUAAAAUGUUAUCCUAUGCUGGCAGAACACAAUUGAUCAAGUCUGUGGUCUUUGGAAUGCAGACUUACUGGGUCAGGUGUUUAUUAUACCCAAGAAAGUUCUGAAGACUAUAGAAGCAAUAUGUAGAACUUACCUCUGGACCGGUAAAGCCACACUUUCCAGAAGAGCAUUAGUUGCCUAGGACAAGGUAUGCCAACCUUUAUCUUCUGGUGGACUUAAUAUUUUGAGGUUGGCUGUAUGGAACAAAGCAGCCAUAAUCAAAUUAUUAUGGGACUUGGCUAGUAAGAAGGAUUGCUUAUGGGUCAGAUGGGUUUAUGCCUAUUACAUCAAGAAGGGGAAUAUUUACACAGUUUAAGGAUUGCUUAUGGGUCAGAUGGGUUCAUGCCUAUUACAUCAAGAAGGGGAAUAUUGACACAUUGGCUGUACCAACUACAGCUUCCUGGGUGAUCAAAAAGAUAUUGGAUAGUAGAUCAUUGGUGAUGGAAAAUGCUCAGUUGCAGGGUACUCUUAUAUGCAGGCUGCAAAGUGUAUGCAGGAUGAACAAGUUUCAUAUUCACAAAUUGUAUAUUACUAUGUUGCCUAUCUUCACCAAGGUUGCAUGGAAGAACUUAAUGCUUAUUGCUAAACAGAUUGGAUUGAGCAAGUUAAACUGUUACCCUUAGGCAGCUUACUGAAUUGCUUACUUGUUUAUAGAUAGUAUAGACUAUAGUUUACUGAAACAGUGUAGUAGUUAGUCCAUACUACUGCUGGUUUGAUACACGAUGUAAAUAUUCUUUUGAUAUAAAUGACAUAUGACAGUUUAAUCAAAAAAAAAAAAAAUUAAAAAAAAAAUUAAAACUGGUACAAUUCCAUGUAUAUCACAAAAUCUUUGAUAUAAAUGACAUAUGACAAUUUGAUAAAAAAAAAAAAUUAAAGAAAAAGAAAAAAGAGGGAGGCUGGAAAAAAAAGGGACUCCUCCUCCUUCCAAAUAGCAGCAAUGCCAAACCUCAUCUUGAGAAAAACACCAACGGCCUCCUUCACCAAAACCAGCUUCCUCACCAUAUUUCGUCGCGAAUAGUCUGGUGACAGCCACGUUCAAGUAACAUCGACAAACCACCAUUAAAACAAGCUAAAAAUAUUCUGAAAUAGCUCAUAAAAAUACUGCCAGCUUGACUGCAAAAAGCCUCUUUUUCAACCUCAAAAUGGAGGUCGACGGCGAGUCCGAUUUCCUCGCCUGAAGUCGGUGUUCGAAAUCUCCAGUCUUCGGUUCUUGUUGGAGUUGCAAACGAAGUUCUCCAUGCUCGGUCUGGCUUGUUCGAGUUCUCUUGUCGAGUUUACAUCCUUGUAUUCAUCUUCAUGUAUAUAAAAGUUUCAGAGUUUGCAAAUAGUUGCUGCCUCGUACUGGCUUCUGAUUUUGUUCAUAUUUAGAAAGAUAAAUGUUUUUUGCUGCAUUACAGGUCCGUUUCUCAGUUUAUUUUGUUCUUCCAUGCUCUUGUUAUCUUGUUAAAUAGUGUAAAGUGCUUUUAGCCACGAAAUGCAUCUGAAUGCUAUUUUUUUGCUUCUGUUACGUAUAAAGCAUGAAAAGUUCAUUUCACCUUCAAUUAAUUUAUUAUUAAGUAUGUCUUAAAUGGUAUCUUUUAAUCAACUGUUGUGCCAGUUUCUUUAUUUGCCUUUCUUGUAGAUUCUUUUUUCUUGUUUUAAACUUUUGUUGUGUUAUAUGUAGUUGGCCUCAAUAAUAUUUUGAGACGGAACAGUUUUGGAAUGAACAACUUCGAAUAUGUUACUUAUUUUAGGUGUGUUUUAAAAUUAUUAUUGUGAUUAUGAAUACGGAUUUGUAACAUAAUUGCGAAUUUAAUUUUAAAAAAACUCGAGGGAUGCGUUCGCGAAACUUCAAACAAACCUUUCUUAAAAAUAAAUAAAGCGUUAUUAAUUGUAGACACGUUCGCGCAACAUGUUUUGACGCGCCAAAAGAAAAGAGUAUAUGUACGUAUAACUCAAUUCUUUAAUUACGAACGAAUCAAGUUAUUAAAAGCAGUAAAAAUAUAAUUGCACAUAGGUUUAAAAAAUAAGUAGUUAAAUAAUUAAGCCAAAUAUAAAUUGCUAAGCGACCGUGCUAGAACCACGGAAUCCGUGGAUGCCUAACACCUUCCUCCGGGUUAACAGAAUUCCUUACUUAGAAUUUAUGGUUCGUGGACUCUUUUAAAAUUAAAACUUCCUCAAUUUAGGAUUUAAAAUAAAUCGCCUAACACCUUCUCCCAAGUUAACAUAAUUCCUUAUCUAGAAUUUCUGCUUCGCAGACUUUAAAAAAUUAAAAUUUUCCUCGAUUUGGGAUUUUAAAAUAAACCGUUGACUUGGGACACCAAGUGGCGACACUAAUAAAUAAAAUAAUCCCAUUUUCAAUAAUGUCACUUUAAUUUGAUAAACUCUUAUAUCCCUCUCGGGUGUGUAAAAAAAAGGUGUGACAAUCUGAUAAGUGUAUAUGUUUCCGAAAAGGACAAUGUGAUUAAGUUGAUGGCACUUCGGUGGUAUGGCGGCACUCUCCUGUUAGAUCGACUGGUGAUAUUCGGGUUUGCUUGGUGGCACAGGGAAUUUUAUAGUGUCUAUCAUGGAAUGAUGGGGUAUUUGAGGUGUAAUAUGCUUUUGGACGGCAAUAUUUGGUACCAGGUACAAUGAUUUGUGUGCUAUUUGGAGUUGGAGACAGGGACUUUUCAUGUGUAGGCUAUGUUAUAGUUGUGGAUCGUGUCUAUCGGCAUCGUUUAGCGGCUAUCGAGAUUUGGAGGCUUGAGUGGAUCUUCUUUUGCUGGUAUGUUAGAUUUGGAUGUGAUGUUGGAGUUUAGACUGGUUGUCUCAGUGUUGGGUUAUUCUGAACUAUUACGUCACGGGCUAUGCGGGAAAUGCCACGGGUUCAGUGGCGAGGUGGGCUGGAUUAUGUUCUAGUAGAGUGGGGUAUAUUUCAAAGGCCCAGCGGACAGCUGGGAAGGAUUGCCUUUCUUAUUUGGGCCAUUGUGAUGAGUGUCAGUGUUGAGGCUCCUCGUAUUGAUUCAGUUUCGGUGGUGAGAGACUUUUUGGAUGUGUUUCUUGUGUCCAGGCAUGUCGCCGAGCGAGGUUGUCGAUUUUGAUAUUGAUUUGGUGCCGGACACCGUAUCGUAUCACAGCGUAAGGAGUUAUAGAAGUGGAAAGGAACAACUUCAAGUUUCCUUAGUAUGAAGUUCAUUGGCAGACCAAUGUGGAUGUGUGUUCUAGCUUGAUUCGGCUUGGUUGGCCGAAUUGUGCUGUCGACGGAUUGGUUGAUUUGACUGUUAUUGAGCUUAUUAGUGCUCGGGGAAUGGCGCAUCGGUUGUGUGGUGUAUGUUAUUUGCUUCACCGUGGGUAUGAUAAUUUGCUUGGUUCCAUAUAUCAAAUUGCGUGUUGAGAGUUUUUGAUAUGUAUAGACUCAUGGCGAGAUAAGGUAUCUGUUGAGCUGAAAAUUUUUU